ensembl:snoRNA
AUCCCUUUGUAGUUCGUAAGCAGGAUGAGUGGGUGUUUAUGCUGUCAUGUGACAUGCGUCUCCCGCAAACCUUGUUGUGGCCUUGGAGCAUUACCCAUCUGACA